rnacentral:rRNA from 1 species
GACGAACGCUGGCGGCGUGCUUAACACAUGCAAGUCGAACGGAAAGGCCCCUUUGGGGGUACUCGAGUGGCGAACGGGUGAGUAACACGUGAGUAACCUGCCCUUGACUUCGGGAUAACUUCCGGAAACUGGGGCUAAUACCGGCUAGGAAUCCUUGCUGCAUGGUGGGGGUUGGAAAGCUUCGGCGGUUUUGGAUGGACUCGCGGCUUAUCCGCUUGUUGGUGGGGUAGUGGCUUACCAAGGCUGUGACGGGUAGCCGGCCUGAGAGGGCGACCGGCCACAUGGGGACUGAGAGACGGGCCAGAAGGCGACGGGAGGCAGGAGGGGGGAAUAGUGCAGAAUGGGGGGAAGCCGGAGGCGGCAACGCCGCGGGCGGGAUGACGGCCUUCGGGUUGUAAACCGGUGUCAGCAGGGGAGAAGCUUGUGGUGACGGUACCUGCAGAAGAAGCACCGGCUAACUACGUG